rnacentral:rRNA from 1 species
UACAGAGGGUGCGAGCGUUGUUCGGAAUUAUUGGGCGUAAAGCGCAUGUAGGCGGCAUCAUAAGUCGCGUGUGAAAGCUCCAGGCUCAACCUGGAAAGUGCGCGCGAAACUGUGGAGCUUGAGUGCCGGAGAGGGUGGCGGAAUUCCCGGUGUAGAGGUGAAAUUCGUAGAUAUCGGGAGGAACACCAGAGGCGAAGGCGGCCACCUGGACGGACACUGACGCUGAAACGCGAAAGCGUGGGGAGCAAGCAGG